rnacentral:tRNA from 1 species
CUGGACGCUGGAAGGGCAGUUCGCCCGCUGGCGCUCGGACCGGCGGGUGGCCAGCGGCUGGUCGCAGCUGCGCAUGCUGCUGGCCGGGC